UGUUUGAUCCCUGGCUCAGGACGAACGCUGGCGGCGUGCUUAACACAUGCAAGUCGAACGAUGAACCACCUUCGGGUGGGGAUUAGUGGCGAACGGGUGAGUAACACGUGGGCAAUCUGCCCUGCACUCUGGGACAAGCCCUGGAAACGGGGUCUAAUACCGGAUACUGACCCUCGCAGGCAUCUGCGAGGUUCGAAAGCUCCGGCGGUGCAGGAUGAGCCCGCGGCCUAUCAGCUAGUUGGUGAGGUAAUGGCUCACCAAGGCGACGACGGGUAGCCGGCCUGAGAGGGCGACCGGCCACACUGGGACUGAGACACGGCCCAGACUCCUACGGGAGGCAGCAGUGGGGAAUAUUGCACAAUGGGCGAAAGCCUGAUGCAGCGACGCCGCGUGAGGGAUGACGGCCUUCGGGUUGUAAACCUCUUUCAGCAGGGAAGAAGCGAAAGUGACGGUACCUGCAGAAGAAGCGCCGGCUAACUACGUGCCAGCAGCCGCGGUAAUACGUAGGGCGCAAGCGUUGUCCGGAAUUAUUGGGCGUAAAGAGCUCGUAGGCGGCUUGUCACGUCGGUUGUGAAAGCCCGGGGCUUAACCCCGGGUCUGCAGUCGAUACGGGCAGGCUAGAGUUCGGUAGGGGAGAUCGGAAUUCCUGGUGUAGCGGUGAAAUGCGCAGAUAUCAGGAGGAACACCGGUGGCGAAGGCGGAUCUCUGGGCCGAUACUGACGCUGAGGAGCGGGGGGAUUAUAAAAA
rnacentral:rRNA from 1 species